rnacentral:rRNA from 1 species
GGGUUGUGAGGUUAAGCGACCAAGCGUACACGGUGGAUGCCCUGGCAGUCAGAGGCGAUGAAGGACGUGCUAAUCUGCGAAAAGCGCCGGUAAGGUGAUAUGAACCGUUAUAACCGGCGAUGUCCGAAUGGGGAAACCCAGUGUGACUCGUCACACUAUCAUUAACUGAAUCCAUAGGUUAAUGAGGCGAACCGGGGGAACUGAAACAUCUAAGUACCCCGAGGAAAAGAAAUCAACCGAGAUUCCCCCAGUAGCGGCGAGCGAACGGGGAGGAGCCCAGAGCCUGAAUCAGCAUGUGUGUUAGUGGAAGCGUCUGGAAAGGCGCGCGAUACAGGGUGACAGCCCCGUACACAAAAGCGCAUAUGCUGUGAGCUCGAUGAGUAGGGCGGGACACGUGGUAUCCUGUCUGAAUAUGGGGGGACCAUCCUCCAAGGCUAAAUACUCCUGACUGACCGAUAGUGAACCAGUACCGUGAGGGAAAGGCGAAAAGAACCCCGGCGAGGGGAGUGAAACAGAACCUGAAACCGUGUACGUACAAGCAGUGGGAGCCUCUCUUUAUGGGGGGUGACUGCGUACCUUUUGUAUAAUGGGUCAGCGACUUAUAUUCUGUAGCAAGGUUAACCGCAUAGGGGAGCCGAAGGGAAACCGAGUCUUAACCGGGCGUUAAGUUGCAGGGUAUAGACCCGAAACCCGGUGAUCUAGCCAUGGGCAGGUUGAAGGUUGGGUAACACUAACUGGAGGACCGAACCGACUAAUGUUGAAAAAUUAGCGGAUGACCUGUGGCUGGGGGUGAAAGGCCAAUCAAACCGGGAGAUAGCUGGUUCUCCCCGAAAGCUAUUUAGGUAGCGCCUCGUGAAUUCAUCUCCGGGGGUAGAGCACUGUUUCGGCUAGGGGGCCAUCCCGGCUUACCAACCCGAUGCAAACUGCGAAUACCGGAGAAUGUUAUCACGGGAGACACACGGCGGGUGCUAACGUCCGUCGUGAAGAGGGAAACAACCCAGACCGCCAGCUAAGGUCCCAAAGUCAUGGUUAAGUGGGAAACGAUGUGGGAAGGCCCAGACAGCCAGGAUGUUGGCUUAGAAGCAGCCAUCAUUUAAAGAAAGCGUAAUAGCUCACUGGUCGAGUCGGCCUGCGCGGAAGAUGUAACGGGGCUAAACCAUGCACCGAAGCUGCGGCAGCGACACUUUAGUGUUGUUGGGUAGGGGAGCGUUCUGUAAGCCGUUGAAGGUGUCCUGUGAGGGGUGCUGGAGGUAUCAGAAGUGCGAAUGCUGACAUAAGUAACGAUAAAGCGGGUGAAAAGCCCGCUCGCCGGAAGACCAAGGGUUCCUGUCCAACGUUAAUCGGGGCAGGGUGAGUCGACCCCUAAGGCGAGGCCGAAAGGCGUAGUCGAUGGGAAACGGGUUAAUAUUCCCGUACUUGGUGUUACUGCGAAGGGGGGACGGAGAAGGCUAUGUUGGCCGGGCGACGGUAGUCCCGGUUUAAGCGUGUAGGCUGGUUUUCCAGGCAAAUCCGGAAAAUCAAGGCUGAGGCGUGAUGACGAGGCACCACGGUGCUGAAGCAACAAAUGCCCUGCUUCCAGGAAAAGCCUCUAAGCAUCAGGUAACAUCAAAUCGUACCCCAAACCGACACAGGUGGUCAGGUAGAGAAUACCAAGGCGCUUGAGAGAACUCGGGUGAAGGAACUAGGCAAAAUGGUGCCGUAACUUCGGGAGAAGGCACGCUGACACGUAGGUGAAGUGAUUUACUCAUGGAGCUGAAGUCAGUCGAAGAUACCAGCUGGCUGCAACUGUUUAUUAAAAACACAGCACUGUGCAAACACGAAAGUGGACGUAUACGGUGUGACGCCUGCCCGGUGCCGGAAGGUUAAUUGAUGGGGUCAGCGCAAGCGAAGCUCCUGAUCGAAGCCCCGGUAAACGGCGGCCGUAACUAUAACGGUCCUAAGGUAGCGAAAUUCCUUGUCGGGUAAGUUCCGACCUGCACGAAUGGCGUAAUGAUGGCCAGGCUGUCUCCACCCGAGACUCAGUGAAAUUGAACUCGCUGUGAAGAUGCAGUGUACCCGCGGCAAGACGGAAAGACCCCGUGAACCUUUACUAUAGCUUGACACUGAACAUUGAGCCUUGAUGUGUAGGAUAGGUGGGAGGCUUUGAAGCGUGGACGCCAGUCUGCGUGGAGCCGACCUUGAAAUACCACCCUUUAAUGUUUGAUGUUCUAACGUGGACCCGUAAUCCGGGUUGCGGACAGUGUCUGGUGGGUAGUUUGACUGGGGCGGUCUCCUCCUAAAGAGUAACGGAGGAGCACGAAGGUUGGCUAAUCCUGGUCGGACAUCAGGAGGUUAGUGCAAUGGCAUAAGCCAGCUUGACUGCGAGCGUGACGGCGCGAGCAGGUGCGAAAGCAGGUCAUAGUGAUCCGGUGGUUCUGAAUGGAAGGGCCAUCGCUCAACGGAUAAAAGGUACUCCGGGGAUAACAGGCUGAUACCGCCCAAGAGUUCAUAUCGACGGCGGUGUUUGGCACCUCGAUGUCGGCUCAUCACAUCCUGGGGCUGAAGUAGGUCCCAAGGGUAUGGCUGUUCGCCAUUUAAAGUGGUACGCGAGCUGGGUUUAGAACGUCGUGAGACAGUUCGGUCCCUAUCUGCCGUGGGCGCUGGAAGACUGAGGGGGGCUGCUCCUAGUACGAGAGGACCGGAGUGGACGCAUCACUGGUGUUCGGGUUGUCAUGCCAAUGGCACUGCCCGGUAGCUAAAUGCGGAAAAGAUAAGUGCUGAAAGCAUCUAAGCACGAAACUUGCCCCGAGAUGAGUCUUCCCUGAGACCUUGAGUCUCCUGAAGGAACGUUAAAGACGAUGACGUUGAUAGGCCGGGUGUGUAAGCGCAGCGAUGCGUUGAGCUAACCGGUACUAAUGAACCGUGAGGCUUAACCUUACAACGCCGAAGCUGUU